GUUUCGUGUGAACAGCCGUUGCACACGAGUCAGUCGACCCUAAGCCCUAGGAGAAAUCCUGGGAAUGACGGUGUAUGUUUCUAAAGUAUUUUUGACUAAAGUGCACACCCGUCGGGCGAAAGGGAAUCCGGUUCCUAUUCCGGAACCCGGCAGCGGAACCGCAUACAAUUCGGGCCCUCGUAAGCGUGUUCGUCGGGGUAACCCAAAGUGACCUGGAGACGCCGCCGGGAGAGCCGGGAAGAGUUUUCUUUUCUGUAUAAGCGUUCGAGUUCCCUGGAAACCUCUGGCAGGGAGAUAGGGUUUGGAACGCGAAGAGCACCGCAGUUGCGGCGCUGUCCGAAUCUUCCCCUCGGACCUUGAAAAUCCAGGAGAGGGCCACGUGGAGGUGUCGCGCCGGUUCAUACCCAUAUCCGCAGCAGGUCUCCAAGGUAAAGAGCCUCUAGUCGAUAGACUAAUGUAGGUAAGGGAAGUCGGCAAAUUGGAUCCGUAACUUCGGAAUAAGGAUUGGCUCUGAGGAGCGGGGCGCGUCGGGCUUGGUCGGGAAGUGGGUCUGGCUGACGUGCUGGGCCUGGGCGAGGUGAAUGUCCCUCCUUCACGGGGGGGAGGGGGCGGGGUUUGGGAUCCGAGCUCGGUACCGUGCCUUGGCCUCCCGCGGAUCUUCAUUGCUGCGAGGCUUUUGGGGCGGUUUACGCCGUCCUGAUCGUUCUCUUCGGCCGCCAUUCAACGCUCAGCUCAGAACUGGCACGGGCUAGGGGAAUCCGACUGUCUAAUUAAAACAAAGCAUUGCGAUGGCCCUCGCGGGUGAUGACGCAAUGUGAUUUCUGCCCAGUGCUCUGAAUGUCAACGUGAAGAAAUUCAAGCAAGCGCGGGUAAACGGCGGGAGUAACUAUGACUCUCUUAAGGCGGUGGGGUCUGAACGACUUUAGGACCUCACUCCAAGUGCCAUCCUCAACCUCCCCAUGGUGAGAGUCGGGCAACGU
rnacentral:ncRNA from 1 species